rnacentral:lncRNA from 1 species
GCUAUUUAUAGGGGGUCUAGGUCGUUUUUUUAAAGAGUUUAUUCGACUUACAUCGCGAGUUUUGGAACGAAUUAACGACGUAAGGUGAGGUAUGACUCUAUUAUUUUAUUACGACGAAAAUUAUAAAUGAUAUAGACUAUUAUAAAAAUUAUUAUAAUUUUCGUUUAAUUGUCUAACAAAUAAAAAUAUCAUGAAAGUUAAUGGUACGGUUACGUUAUUAUAACGAAAAACUUAAUCAUUCGGAAACAAUAAUUUAAGAAUUCCAUUAUGAAUUUUUUUUUUUGUCAUUAUUAAUAUAUUUCGUUGAUCAUAAAUUUAACAUUAUUCUUAACUACAUUUUGCAUAAGUAGAUUUUAUCUAAGAAACUGAAUUUUUCUCUUUUCACCUUCCGGAGCCAAAGCAUCUGUCACCACUUUUCCUGCUCGAUUCUGUUUCUAAUUUAAUUAAUUCGGAAACGUCUGAUCGAAUCGCUUGGUUUUUGCCAAUAUGGAAAUAAGAUUGUGUGAGGUUUUUAUCCACUCGAAUGCAGUCUUUUGUCGGAGAAAAGCGCACUGCAUCGACGUGACGUCAUUUAGCUUAUUCAGCAGAAAUGCAAAACGAACUUCUAUUGUUAUGAUGAACUUGACAACUGUUUUGAGACCAGUAAGUCGGGGUUGCCCUACUUAUAUUCGGCACGACGGCACGGAUGUUGCUAUCAAUUAUCAUAAACAGGUUAAUAGAUGCAGUUAUAAAGAAUUUUAAAGCUUGCACAAGAAAAAAUAGCUUCGGUAGACUUUUCGAUUAUCCGGAAUCGAAUUAUCCGAGUUGCGGAUUUAUCGGGGUCAAUCCGCAACCCGGAAGCGCUGUUUAAUUAUCUUAAAUGAGUUAUCUGAAAGAUUUUUAAGCGUCCCAGAUUCGUUUCUUUAUUAUAUCUUAGAUAAUUUUGCUAUCAAAAUUAUAAUUACAGAUAUUGCAA